rnacentral:lncRNA from 1 species
AAUGUACGUAGAGCGCGUCUUGGUAUCCGAUAAUGCUGCAACGGUAAACCACCGCGUGGUCUCCGCCGACACGAAGUGCCACGGCCUGGUGCUUCGCCGGUCCAGCGUAGUUCUCGAAGGUUAUGUCUCUCACUAUAAAUCCAGCUCCCGUCGCGGCUAACAUCAAUCAAAUUUAAAAAAUAAUAUAAAAAUUAUAAAUCAUAACCGAAAAAAAAGACAUAAAAGGUAAUUUUGUGUAUUACCGAAAGUGGCCGUGUGAAAAGUAGUGAGGUCAUCGACGAUGCUUUUUCCACCGGUUAUGACAGUUCUACCCUUGCCGUCUCCGAUGAACAUUAAGUUCGUUUUUUUCCUCCCAACCUUGAGAAUUUCUUCUUCGUACUUUCCUGCUUUGACGUAGAUGACGAAUCGACGGCUACUAUGCUCCGGCGCUUUCUUGAUCGCCUCCGCUAUUGUCUUAAACGUUCCGUUACCAUCUUUAGACACCGUGAUAUCCGCCUGAAUCUUCGUCGCCGGAGUACCGAGAAGCUCUCUGUCUCCUCUCUUCAACCAAUUCGGAAACUCCUCUGUUUCUUCCUCCCCAAGCAACUUCCUAUGGUUCACCACCGGAACUCCGCUCAAAUCGUUGACGUUGCCGGAGAAUAUCGCUAGGCAGUUACUCACCAUCUCCGACAAGUCCUUCACCGCUCCGAUCACUUGAUCCUUCACACCUCCUCCGCCGUCUCCGGCUUCGUCGAAUCCCUCCGUGCACGUGUCGUGGUUAGUCAUCGCAGAGCUAAGCCACGUCAUGACAUCGGAGUGAGAGUCAUCGGAAGAUGAGGCGGCGACGAUGGAGGAGAGAGCGCGUGAUAGCGCGUCGACUGAGUCGUCGAGCAGCUCGAGACACGAGUCGUAAGCUGAUCGUACACGUGGCGGCAUCUGAGCGUAGGAGAUCGUCGACGAUGAGUAAAGCGCUUUGCUGAAACUCUGAAGUGUCGCGUUGAAGGAGAUGUGGAUGAGCUGUUUCUCGUCGGCGGUUAAAGCUCCCGGAAAGUCGAGAAGCGUGUCGAUGCAGAGGUUCGGGUAUUGGGCUUUGCUACAGGUUUGGGAGAUUUCUCGGGUAGGUUCACGGUUUAGUUUCGGCGCAUGUUGAUCUGAACCUACCGCUCGGAUGCCGGCAAAGAUCCCUAAGCAGACCACUGCGACAACUAGUACUGCUAGCGUGAAGAGAAUCAGCUUCGUCUUCUUAGUUCUCUUCUGUAGCUCCGGGAGUGACGUGGCAGGGUCUUUCUGGUUCGUGUUUGUUGCCGAACCUGAUGGUCCAAGCCUAUCGUAACCCAUACUGCAAUUUGUGUGUGUGUGGGUUUAGAUUGAAAGUUAAGAGUUCUGUUAACGGAACAAAGAUGAUGUGGAAGUGGCUCUAUAAAUAUUAUUAUAGAUAUAACUAUUGAAGCAUUAAAAUGAUAUGCGUUAUUAUUAUAAACUUAUAAAAUUAUAUAAACACACACAUAUAAUUUGGGUGUCUUUAUUGAAAUGUAUGCCUGAUAGCUGUAAUAUUUGUCGAUGUCUCUAACAGUAAGUAUAUAUAGUGAAAAAGAAGUAUAUAUAGUCAUGUGUAUUAGUAAUAGAUGUUUACAUUUAUUUGUACGAGUGUUACUUGAGGGUAAUGCUCUAUAAAUCAUUUCGUGUCAACGACCCAUUAUAGCGAUUACCUUAUAAGAGGAUAGUAGAAGUCAGAUUACGAUGACAGUUGGUGUUUCUGAAAUGUUAUUUUUAUGUCACUACAGCGAUAAAAGUUAGAAUCUUAUGUGAGUAACCCAAUCCAAACCCACUCAAAGACAGUCUCAGGCCUACCUAGAAAGCCCAAUCAAAAGAAACAUGCGGAGACAAAGAACAUGCUUUCUGUAUCUGCAAUUACAAACAUUAGAGACGACAAGAGGACAAUUGAGCUCAAUAACAGAUUUAAUACCCUACAGUCUGUCAAAGAUGACUAGACUACUUUACAGCUACAAAAGGGAUUAGAUCUAGAUUGUUCUCUUAGCUCUAUAUAAACCUAUUGUAUAGCUCAUUGUAAACUUAUCCAAAAUAGAAGUAAAGUUAUGGUAUCAGAGCCAUUGAUACCUUAACAGGUGAAAUCAAUGGCAGAUCCUCCGCGCACAUAUCCGUUCCCAAGCAAUGUCCACAUCCUAAGCUGCGUUACGUUGAAGCUCACAUAUAACAAUUACUUGCUUUGGAAGACACAGUUUGAGUCUCUCCUCUCCAGCCAGAAACUCCUUGGUUUCGUCAAUGGUGCGACUGUCCCUCCACCAACCACUCACUCUGUCAACACAGACAACACUCCCGGUAAAGAACCAAACCCUAAAUACGAUGAUUGGGUUUGCUCUGACCAGCUCGUUAGGUCAUGGUUGUUUGGUACUUUGUCUGAGGAAGUCCUCGGCUCUGUUCAUACCCUGUCCACUUCACGCGAAGUGUGGCUCUCCCUUGCUGAAAACUUCAACAAAAGCUCCUUGUCCAGAGAGUUCUCCUUGCGUCGGAGUCUUCAGCUUAUCAGCAAGAAGGACAAGAGUCUAUCAGUGUACUGUCGUGAGUUCAAGAAAAUCUAUGACUCUCUCAGUGCUAUAGGGAAACCCAUCGACGAGUCCAUGAAGAUCUUUGGGUUCCUCAAUGGUCUCACUCGAGAGUACGACCCCAUUGCCACAGUCAUUCAAAGCUCUCUCACGAAGUUCCCUGCUCCUACAUUCAAUGACGUUGUGUCAGAGGUUCAAGGCUAUGACGUCAAGCUACAGUCGUAUGAAGAGACACCUACGGUAACUCCUCAUGCCGCAUUCCAGCUUCAGCAGAACAAUGCUCCAAGCUACAACCAAACUCGAGGUCGUGGUCGUGGCUUCUAUCAGAAUUGUGGCAGAGGAGGUUACUCGAAUCGUGGGAGGGGUUACUCGCAGCAUCAGAGCACCUCUAACACAUCAGGCACAAGGCCAACGUGUCAGAUCUGCGGAGGGGUUGACCACACUGCGCUGAAAUGCUACAAUCGGUUCGAUAACAACUAUCAGGCUUCUGAUGUUACUCAAGCUUUCAAUGCCCUUCAGAUGACUGAUGAAAACGGCAGAGACUGGUACCCUGACUCAGGUGCCUCAGCACAUGUCACUGCUAGCACGAACUCGCUGCAAACAAUCACUCCGUAUGCAGGCAAUGACACCAUCAUGGUCGCUGACGGCACAUACCUCCCAAUCACUCACGUUGGCGUUGCUUCCCUUGCAUUACCGUUAGGUAGCAUUCCCCUCAAUGAAGUCCGUGUGUGUCCUGACAUAAAACAAUCACUCUUAUCAGUCUCUAAACUCUGUGAUGACUACCCGUGUGGGGUGUUCUUUGAUGCUAAACAAGUUUGUGUUAUUGAUGUCACCACUCAGAAGGUGGUAACAAAGGGAAUCAGACGUAAAGGAUUAUAUGUGUUGGAGAAUCCGAACCUUGUUGCUCUAUACUCAAACCGCCAGCGAGAAGCACCUGAAAGCGUUUGGCAUCAUCGGUUAGGGCACGCAAAUUACAAGAUUCUUCGACACCUACAACACAGCAAGGAGAUAACAGUCAAUAAGAGCAGAUCCAACCUCAUUUGUGAGCCUUGCCAGAUGGGAAAAAUUUCAAGACUUCAGUUUUUACCUUCUAGUUCUGUGGUGUUACAACCCUUAGAAAGAGUUCAUUGUGAUCUUUGGGGAGCUUCACCUGUAGUAUCCAACCAGGGAUUCAAGUAUUAUGAUGUCUUUGUGGAUGCUUAUUCCCGCUUUUCUUGGUUCUACCCUUUGAGAAAUAAAUCAGAAUUCUAUUCAGUUUUCAUUUCAUUUUACAAAAUGGUAGAGAAUCAGCUAUCAACAAAGCUCAAGUCGUUUCAAAGUGAUGAGGGUGCUGAAUUUGUAAACAAAAACCUUAGUGAUUACCUUGCUCAGAAUGGCAUUAGGCACUUGAUCAGCUGUCCUCACACGCCGGAGCAGAACGGUACUGCAGAGCGCAAGCAUCGUCACUUAGUGGAACUUAGUCUCUCCAUGAUGUAUCAUAGUCAUGUUCCUCUCAGCUACUUGGUGGAGGCCUUUAACACAUCUAAUGUGAUCUCCAACAUGCUGCCCUCUUCAUCCCUGCAAAACAAGAGUCCGAAUGAAGUGUUGCUGAAACAAAAGCAGACUACACUAUGUUGAGAGCAUUUGGUGCAGCUUGCUUUCCUUACCUAAGACCGAUGGCAGCACACAAGCUUGAACCGAGAUCACUUCAAUGUGUGUUCAUUGGGUACAGUCCACAUCACAAGGGAUACAUAAGUCUCUACCCACUCACAGGAAAAGACUAUAUCUCCAGACACGUCGUCUUCGAUGAAGAAUGCUUUCCCUUCAAAGAUACGUACAAGUGUCAAGUGCCAGUCUAUGACACACCGUUAUUGAAAGCAUGGCAAACGCCUUUCCACUUUCAUUUGCAUCUUUCUCUAUCUUUAUUUAUUUAGUUUUGAUGCUGAAACUUGUGUGGGGAAGCUAGGUCCUCAGGAGAAAACGAUAGCACCGCAGCGAAACCAGCUGAUGAUGAUGAUCUGGUAGAACUGGAGAAGAGUAACAUUCUCCUGAUGGGACCAACUGGCUCAGGUAAAUAUUCUGACCCCAAUCUGCAAAAAUAACACAAACCCCUGAUACGCUGAACAUUGUUGUGAAACUUUAAGUUCAGCUUGUCUCACCUCAUAUGUUUUUGUUGUUUUUUUCUUCAACCAUAGGGAAGACACUACUUGCGAAAACCUUGGCACGGUUUGUGAAUGUUCCUUUUGUCAUUGCUGAUGCAACCACAUUGACUCAGGCUGGUUAUGUGGGAGAGGACGUAGAAUCUAUAUUAUACAAACUUCUCACAGUAAUCUUUCUAAACCCAACCCAUUUUUAUUUGUACAAUACUAUAAUCAAUUUCUUUAUAUUAUUUUGUGAUGAGUGGUUUUGAUCUCUCUCUCUCUCUCUCUCUACAGGUUGCAGAUUAUAAUGUUGCAGCUGCACAGCAGGGGAUUGUUUACAUCGAUGAAGUUGACAAGAUAACAAAGAAGGUUAGAGCUAAAACUUUGUCCUUGUGCUAGUUUGGCAAACUUGAAUAUUAUCUUCCGUGCUUCUUCAAAAAAGUUUGUUUACCUUGGACUUUUUUGGUUGCCAGGCGGAGAGCCUUAACAUAAGCAGAGAUGUAUCAGGAGAGGGUGUUCAACAAGCAUUGCUAAAAAUGCUGGAAGGAACAGUAAGUUUACUAUUUGCCUUGAGAGCUUUGCUAACUAAGAUCUCAAUAAUUAUUUUUGUGGCUUAUACCCAGUUUCUAACUAUCUCUCUUUUUGGAUAUAUAGAUCGUUAAUGUACCGGAGAAGGGCGCUAGGAAGCACCCUAGAGGCGACAAUAUCCAGGUUUUGUUGUGCUCCACUCUACUCUUUAUGUUUUGGCAUGCACAUUGCUAAUAACAUAAGUUAUUCAUAUGGAUGGAGAAUAAGGUCAUAAAGAAAUUUAAAUGAUUAUGGAAAUCUAAUAGCUUCCACAUUCCAGUUUAAUGUUAUUAACUAGAGUUGAUUAAGGUGGCUCGUCUGUUACAUUUAUUUCUUACUCACCUCUUGUCAACUGUGUCUGCAGAUAGACACAAAAGAUAUACUCUUCAUAUGUGGUGGUGCUUUUGUAGACAUCGAGAAGACGAUUUCAGAGAGGUAUGACUAGUGAUCAAAUCCCCAAAAUCCCCUUUUUCUUCUAAUCAAAUAACAUUUGGAAGUCAACUGAAUGUUUCCUUUUUUUCUUAUUCCAGGCGCCAUGAUUCUUCAAUUGGAUUUGGUGCUCCUGUACGUGCUAACAUGAGGGCGGGUGGUGUUACAAAUGCCGCUGUUGCAUCAAACCUGAUGGAAACUGUACGUUUUAUCAUCUCUUCACCCAACAAAUGAUAGUUUGGUCUUUGGCUCAUGUUUAGGGUGGUGUUGGUGUUGGCAGGUGGAAAGCAGUGACCUGAUUGCUUAUGGUUUAAUACCUGAAUUUGUUGGAAGAUUUCCUGUUCUCGUCAGCUUAUCUGCUCUGACUGAGAACCAACUCAUGGAGGUAAUAUUAUCUCAACAUAAAUAUGGUUUUGACACUUGAUGUGAGUCUCGGCAUUACUAAAAAUCAUUUGAUUUGCAGGUCCUUACCGAGCCCAAGAACGCUCUUGGAAAGCAAUACAAAAAGAUGUACCAAAUGAAUAGUGUAACUACUCCUCUCUCUCCUCUCUCCUCUCUCUACUCAAAAUCUUGUCUCUCUUGAGACAAAUCUCUAUAUCUACUCUUUCUUCAGGUAAAGCUGCAUUUUACGGAAACAGCGCUGCGGCUAAUAGCUAGAAAAGCAAUAACGAAAAACACAGGUGCUCGUGGCUUAAGAGCUCUUUUAGAAAGCAUCCUCAUGGAUUCUAUGUACGAGGUAAGUGUUACCUCCUAUAUUUGCUUACAACCCAUGUCAUUAGAUUCACGUUCAGACUCUUAACCAUGUCAUUUUCUCAGAUACCGGACGAGGGUACAGGGAAGGAUAUGAUAGAGGCGGUUGUGGUGGAUGAAGAAGCAGUUGAAGGAGAAGGGCGUAGAGGCUCUGGAGCUAAGAUUCUCCGUGGUAAAGGAGCUUUGUCUCUGUAUCUCUCUGAAACCACCAAAUCCAAGGAUUCUCCUCGGGUACUUUGCAUACCAAUCCCGGUUUUACUUUAAAUAAAUAACAAUAUACACGGUUGGUUUGACAACCCGAGUCUUUUGUGCUAAAUUGUUGCAGACGACCAUGGAGGGAUCAGAAGGAGAAAUUGAGGUGGAGGCAGAGAUUCCCUCCGUUGUCGCCAGUAUGUAAAUGUAUCAUCAAUAACAUACUGGUGAAUGUAUCUCUGUAUGCUUAAUCUUAUCGUUCUAAUAAUGUACAUAAAUGAAAGAAAUAAACAAAGUUGUAUCAGUAAGUUUAAAAAAAGAACAAAAGGAUUGCACAGUUUGCACAUUGAUCAAUGAUGAUGUAACGUUUAUGCAAUAACCUAUCAUUACUCUUUAUUAUCUUGCAUUCAAAACUGAGAAACCUCCUUUGAUUAAAAAUCCGGAUUUAUCAUUCAUGCUUGUACUCUAAAAGUAAAUGUUUCAUUCUGAGCAAAGAGUUAGAAAGAAUAUUCAAAUCAUAAUCUUAUUUAUUUCAUUCAAGAAGAUGCUCUGUCAUAUAAUAAUAAAAUACACUUAAAAAGAAACAUAAAUCUUGACUUUGUUGUAUAUAUAUUAUCUUCCGUAUAUUAGUUACAUACAAGUCCGAGACAGCCUUACUGUGACAACCCAGAGAAGAAGGCCACGCCCGUGGAUGGCAACCACGAUGAACCCCCAAUGAACUGACCCACCGUAAACUUACUUGCCUCGACCGUUGAAGUAAUAACGUGAUAACCGGGCCACUUGACUCGUUGACCCGUACUCGACCCCGGCCCUCGGUUCAUAUACUCACCGUAGUACAAAGAGUCCAACGCAAACGGACCGUUCCAUUCCAACCAUCCUCUCGGGUUAAUGUGGUCGCCCAUAUCCGACAUCAUGUACACAACUCUAGAGUAUAACUUCCACGGACGACCGAGAUACGUCGGAUAACUACCUUUCGAGGCUUCGAGAUCAGCAGUUGCUAGAAGCUUACAAGCGUGGAUCGAGAUCCCCGUGUUUUGGUUCGGGUCUUUCCGGUUCUGAGCCGUGAUGGUGAUUUUCUGCUGAGGCAUUGGUUUACGUGCGUAGAUGUUACAGCUCUGUAAGAUCACAGCUGCGUUUCCGAAUAUGAAAUCGACCGUUCCGUAAAUCUCGCAUUCGCGGAAAAACUGUCGGUUGGAAUGUACGUAGAGCGCGUCUUGGUAUCCGAUAAUGCUGCAACGGUAAACCACCGCGUGGUCUCCGCCGACACGAAGUGCCACGGCCUGGUGCUUCGCCGGUCCAGCGUAGUUCUCGAAGGUUAUGUCUCUCACUAUAAAUCCAGCUCCCGUCGCGGCUAACAUCAAUCAAAUUUAAAAAAUAAUAUAAAAAUUAUAAAUCAUAACCGAAAAAAAAGACAUAAAAGGUAAUUUUGUGUAUUACCGAAAGUGGCCGUGUGAAAAGUAGUGAGGUCAUCGACGAUGCUUUUUCCACCGGUUAUGACAGUUCUACCCUUGCCGUCUCCGAUGAACAUUAAGUUCGUUUUUUUCCUCCCAACCUUGAGAAUUUCUUCUUCGUACUUUCCUGCUUUGACGU